GCUUCCUAUCACAACUGCUCUAAGUAUAGAAUGUUAAACCACAGACUUAGGCAAAGAUUAAAAAAAAAGCUAUUAGAUCAAAUUAAAAUAUGAAUACCUUCUAUGACAAAAUCAAAAAUUUAAAACUGUAAUACAUUUUAUUUUAGCCCACU